rnacentral:rRNA from 1 species
AACGAACGCUGACGGCGUGCUUAACACAUGCAAGUCGCACGAGAAUUUCCGCCUUCGGGUGGAAUAGUAAAGUGGCGCACGGGUGAGUAACGCGUGGAUAAUCUGCCUUCAAGUAGGGAAUGACAUUGCGAAAGCGAUGCUAAUACCGUAUAUGCUAACGAUUUGAUUAGUUGUGGGAAAAGAUGGCCUAGUCUAUGCUAUCGCUUGAAGAUGAGUCCGCGUACCAUUAGCUAGUUGGUAGGGUAAAAGCCUACCAAGGCUACGAUGGUUAGCUGGCCUGAGAGGGCGGCCAGCCACACUGGAACUGAGACACGGUCCAGACUCCUACGGGAGGCAGCAGUGGGGAAUAUUGCGCAAUGGGGGAAACCCUGACGCAGCGACGCCGUGUGAGUGAUGAAGGUUUUCGGAUCGUAAAGCUCUGUCGGGUGGAAAGAAUAAAGGCUGUGUGAAUAAUGCAGUCUGAUGACGGUACCACCAAAGGAAGCACCGGCUAACUCCGUGCCAGCCGCCGCGGUAAGAC